CGGGAUGUAGCCCCGCUCCAGCGGGGUACUUCGUUCGGGACGAAGGGGUCGCUGGUUCGAAUCCAGUCAUCCCAA
rnacentral:tRNA from 1 species